rnacentral:misc_RNA from 1 species
UACGAGAGCCCCAAGCGUUAUCCGGAUUUAUUGGGCGUAAAGCGUCUGUAGGUGGUUUCACACGUCUUUUGUUAAAUCCUAAGGCUCAACCUUGGGGCUGCGGGAGAUACGGUGAAACUAGAGGCUGGAAGAGGCAAGCGGAAUUGCUGGUGUAGGGGUUAAAUCCAUUAAUAUCAGCAAGAACACCAAAAGCGAAGGCAGCUUGCUGGGACAUGCCUGACACUCAGAGACGAAAGCGUGGGGAGCGAACGGG